rnacentral:rRNA from 1 species
AGAGUUUGAUCCUGGCUCAGGAUUAACGCUGGCGGUAUGCCUAACACAUGCAAGUCGAACGGAAUACUCGAAAGAGAAUCUCACACUAGUGAGAGGUUCUCCAACCGAGUAUUUAGUGGCGGACGGGUGAGUAACACGUUGGAACCUGCCCCGAAGUGGGGAAUAACUGCUCGAAAGAGUAGCUAAUACCCCAUAGUAUCCGGUUUAUCCGGGUUAAAGAUUUAUCGCUUCGGGAGGGGCCUGCGUCUGAUUAGCUUGUUGGUGGGGUAAAAGCUCACCAAGGCGACGAUCAGUAGCUGGUUCGAGAGGAUGACCAGCCACACUGGGACUGAGAUACGGCCCAGACUCCUACGGGAGGCAGCAGUGAGGAAUCUUCCACAAUGGACGAAAGUCUGAUGGAGCAAUACCGCGUGCAGGACGACGCUUUUCGGAGUGUAAACUGCUUUUGUCGUCGAAGAUUAUGACUGUAGACGAAGAAUAAGGACCGGCUAACUACGUG